CAUUAUGUUUUGGAAAUUUGACAUCAUGAUAUUAUUUUUUUUCAGGCCAGAUGUUUUGUCCUGCUACGUUAAGUCAUCUUGACAUACUGCCAUGAAAUGGAAACAACUGCUAGUUUUAACAUUGCUCCAUAUCUUUAUUAAAAGGUACGUCUCAUGCAUCUUAAUUCCCCAUAUACAUGCUAUCUUCCUCUCUCCCCCCUCUCUCCCAUUAUAGUUCUUUCUUUUCCUCUGUAAAGAAGAAGGCAUAUUAAAAUUUCCUUGCUGUUCUGCCUGACCGGUUAAUAAGGUUCUAGAUAGCAUAAUGAAUAUGCAGUGCUAUUGAUCCUGUGUAUGUGUGUGUGCGUGUGUGUGUCUGUGUGUGCAUGUCUUUAAUCACAGCUGGAAUGCAAAAUCAGGCUCCACCUUUCAACUCUAUCUCCAUCAUGCUGAGAGAGUGAGAGAGAGCGAGACUGAGACUGCUAGACAGCUCGAAAGAGAUUGCAGCUCAGAUGUCCUGGAAAACAGCAAAUCCCUCAGACCUGGCAGAUUCCGUUACCAUGAGAACUGCAGAUAUUUCCAUUGUGAUGGCUUGCUCUAGCAGCCAUCUGUUACACCCAUUUGAUUAGGAAGUACAGUUCAGUUUGUAUGGGAUUUUCGCUGCACCUUAUCCCAUGGCAGUAGUCAUCAAUCUCAUGAGAGUCAUCUUGCCAUCUGUACCAGCAUUGCUCCAGGCUUCCAUAUGAAAGUCCAAUCUGGCGGUAUAAAUACUGGAUAAUGAAGACAUUGGCAGAGUCUUUACUCUGCACACCACUGCUGACCCCAGAUAUGACCCACAGGAACUACUGGCGAAAGGAGCAAAAAGGGGAAAAGAAUUAUCUUCCUGAUGGUCUUGUGUCCUCUGUGCUGGAUCUGCAGUUGUUUUCCGCCUGUAAACUCGCCUCUUGUUGGUCAAGCUUUUCGGCAUUUAUUCAAAUAAAAUUCUUAGGCACUCAGUUGAGAUUGGUAAUUUUUUUUGUUUUGCUUGGCAUAAGAACUGAAGAAAACGUGCCCAGAUCAGGGACCAGCCAACAUCCUCUUUAAUUGCAGCCAGCAGAAAUGAUGUGCUUUGGAU
rnacentral:lncRNA from 1 species